rnacentral:rRNA from 1 species
GACAGAGGGUGCAAACGUUGUUCGGAAUUACUGGGCGUAAAGCGCGUGUAGGCUGCUUCGAAAGUCGGAUGUGAAAGCCCUGGGCUCAACCUAGGAAGUGCAUUCGAAACUUCGAAGCUGGAGUCCUGGAGAGGAAGGCGGAAUUCUCGGUGUAGAGGUGAAAUUCGUAGAUAUCAGGAGGAACACCGGCGGCGAAGGCGGCCCUCUGGAUCGUUGCUGACGCUGAUACGCGAAAGCGUGGGGAGCAAACAGG